AUCCCUUCGGUUCAUAAAGCGUGAUGAUUGGGUGUUCAUGCCAUGUGCAUGACAUGUGCCACCCACUGAACCUUGUUACCACAAGGGCACAUUACCGGUCUGACG
ensembl:snoRNA LOC120094949 small nucleolar RNA U13